UACAGAGGUGGCGAGCGUUAUUCGGAAUUAUUGGGCGUAAAGGGCGCGUAGGCGGCUUGACAAGUCCCGGGUGAAAUCCCUCGGCUCAACCGAGGAACUGCCUUGGAAAACUGUCUGGCUUGAGGCCGGGAGAGGGUAGUGGAAUUCCGAGUGUAGAGGUGAAAUUCGUAGAUAUUCGGAAGAACACCAGUGGCGAAGGCGGCUCACUGGACUGGUAUUGACGCUGAGGUGCGAAAGCGUGGGGGAGCAAACAGG
rnacentral:rRNA from 1 species